rnacentral:lncRNA from 1 species
CUUCUCUCAUCUCCUUUCGGCCAAACCCUUGCGAUCUCAAUUAGCAACCGUUCGAUUAACAAUAAUCCGUUCAAUCAGCCAUCUGCCAUUUCCGUCCAAACCCUUUUCCGAUUCCAAUUUUCCCAAGUCACCUAUAAUGGUCGAUCGCUGUCAUCGCUACUGCUUUACUCUUUCAACAAACCCAGGUAUUUGACAAUUUCAUAAAUGCGCCUCUGGUCAGUACUCCAGGUUUAUCUCCAGCAUUUGGAAGGUUCUACAUUUUAUCAUCUAAUUAAGGUGUGUGGAAUUUCAAAUAUGUUCUACUGUUUUCGGGUGAAUGCUUUUGCUUGGCG